GGGUUGUGAGGUUAAGCGACUAAGCGUACACGGUGGAUGCCCUGGCAGUCAGAGGCGAUGAAGGGCGUACUAAUCUGCGAUAAGCGCCGGUAAGGUGAUAUGAACCGUUAUAACCGGCGAUACCCGAAUGGGGAAACCCAGUGUGAUUCGUCACACUAUCAUUAACUGAAUCCAUAGGUUAAUGAGGCGAACCGGGGGAACUGAAACAUCUAAGUACCCCGAGGAAAAGAAAUCAACCGAGAUUCCCCCAGUAGCGGCGAGCGAACGGGGAGGAGCCCAGAGCCUGAAUCAGCAUGUGUGUUAGUGGAAGCGUCUGGAAAGGCGCGCGAUACAGGGUGACAGCCCCGUACACAAAAGCGCAUGUGCUGUGAGCUCGAUGAGUAGGGCGGGACACGUGGUAUCCUGUCUGAAUAUGGGGGGACCAUCCUCCAAGGCUAAAUACUCCUGACUGACCGAUAGUGAACCAGUACCGUGAGGGAAAGGCGAAAAGAACCCCGGCGAGGGGAGUGAAAAAGAACCUGAAACCGUGUACGUACAAGCAGUGGGAGCACCCUUUGGGUGUGACUGCGUACCUUUUGUAUAAUGGGUCAGCGACUUAUAUUCUGUAGCAAGGUUAACCGAAUAGGGGAGCCGGAGGGAAACCGAGUCUUAACCGGGCGUUAAGUUGCAGGGUAUAGACCCGAAACCCGGUGAUCUAGCCAUGGGCAGGUUGAAGGUUGGGUAACACUAACUGGAGGACCGAACCGACUAAUGUUGAAAAAUUAGCGGAUGACCUGUGGCUGGGGGUGAAAGGCCAAUCAAACCGGGAGAUAGCUGGUUCUCCCCGAAAGCUAUUUAGGUAGCGCCUCGUGAAUUCAUCUCCGGGGGUAGAGCACUGUUUCGGCUAGGGGGCCAUCCCGGCUUACCAACCCGAUGCAAACUGCGAAUACCGGAGAAUGUUAUCACGGGAGACACACGGCGGGUGCUAACGUCCGUCGUGAAGAGGGAAACAACCCAGACCGCCAGCUAAGGUCCCAAAGUCAUGGUUAAGUGGGAAACGAUGUGGGAAGGCCCAGACAGCCAGGAUGUUGGCUUAGAAGCAGCCAUCAUUUAAAGAAAGCGUAAUAGCUCACUGGUCGAGUCGGCCUGCGCGGAAGAUGUAACGGGGCUAAACCAUGCACCGAAGC
rnacentral:rRNA from 1 species